rnacentral:rRNA from 1 species
AUACGUAGGGGACGAGCGUUGUCCGGAAUUACUGGGCGUAAAGGGCGCGCAGGCGGAUAUUUAAGUCAGCUGUAAAAGGCAUGAGCUCAACUCAUGUAUGCGGUUGAAACUGGGUAUCUAGAGUGCUGGCGAGGUAGGCGGAAUUCCCGGUGUAGCGGGGAAAUGCGUAGAUAUCGGGAAGAACACCAGUGGCGACGGCGGCUUACUGGCCAGCAACUGACGCUGAGGCGCGAAAGCCAGGGGAGCGAACGGGAUUAGAUACCCCGGUAGUCCUGGCCGUAAACGACGAAUGCUAGGUGUGGGUGUCGAGAGGCAUCCGUGCCGGAGUUAACGCGAUAAGCAUUCCGCCUGGGGAGUACGAUCGCAAGAUUGAAACUCAAAGGAAUUGGCGGGG